rnacentral:rRNA from 1 species
AGAAUGAACGCUGGCGGCGUGCUUUACACAUGCAAGUUGAGCGAGGCCACCCGCAAGGGUGAGUCGAGCGGCGAACGGGUGAGUAACGCGUGGAUAACCUGCCCUGAGGUGGGGAAUAACCCGGGGAAACUCGGGCUAAUACCGCAUGAUACCAAGCGGUCAAAGAGGGCUCGCAAGAGCUCUUGCCACAGGAGGGGUCCGCGUUCGAUUAGCUAGUUGGUAGGGUAAUGGCCUACCAAGGCGACGAUCGAUAGCCGGCCUGAGAGGGUGAUCGGCCACACUGGAACUGAGACACGGUCCAGACUCCUACGGGAGGCAGCAGUGGGAAUUUGCGCAAUGGGCUAACGCCUGACGCAGCAACGCCGCGUGGAGGAUGAAGGUCUUUGGAUUGUAAACUCCUGUCAGCAGGAAAAGGAGGGACCUAAUACGUUCCUGACUUGAUUGUACCUGCAGAGGAAGCCCCGGCUAACUCUGUGCCAGCAGCCGCGGUAA